AUAUGAUGAAUUUGAUAAUGCUGCCACUACUGUUAUGAAUCAUUCUCCAGAUGCUUGGGAUCAUAUGCAGUUCAAAGAUAUAGUUGUGAAAGUUGCUAAUGUGGAACUUUAUUACAAGGCCGUCCACUUCUAUUUGCAAGAGCAUCCUGAUCUGAUCAAUGAUCUUUUAAAUGUUCUAGCACUCAGGGUGGACCACACACGUGUAGUGGAUAUAAUGAGAAAGGCGGGUCACCUUCGCCUAGUGAAGCCUUAUAUGAUUGCUGUUCAAAGCAACAAUGUUUCUGCUGUGAAUGAGGCCCUUAACGAGAUAUAUGUUGAAGAGGAAGACUAUGAUAGACUACGUGAAUCAAUUGAAUUGCAUGAUAGCUUUGAUCAGAUUGGGCUUGCACAGAAGAUAGAGAAACAUGAGCUCCUUGAGAUGAGGCGUGUUGCUGCUUCUAUUUAUAAAAAGGCUGGUCGGUGGAAGCAAUCCAUUGCUCUAUCGAAGAAAGAUAAUCUUUACAAAGAUGCAAUGGAAACAGCCUCACAAUCUGGGGAUCGUGAACUUGCUGAGGAGUUGCUUGUUUACUUCAUUGAACAGGGAAAGAAAG
rnacentral:misc_RNA from 1 species